CAGGUUGUCCAGAUCACACGGUGAAGAGUCCUCACAGCAACAGAUGCAGUCAUCUGGCAGUGCCUCAUGUCCACAAAGAAGGAUUUAGCGCUUGACCUGUGCUGGCCACAAGAAGACGCAGGCGGUUUGGACCGACUGCAACCUGAGCUGCCACAUAAAAUGACUCACCUGACGCUGACUGGGCGUGACCAUCCUCCGCUCACAUUUUCCCCCACCAAUUUUUAUGAGUGCAAAGCCAAGGUUGAAACUGAAGCACAAACCCACCCAGUGCUUCUUGGCCCACUUGUUUUUUUUAGCGUAUAUGUUGCUGAUGCAGGAUGGAUAGAGGGAUGAAAAAUGAGAACUAGUACAAAACAUGCAUGCGGUGCCUGGGAGCAAACACUGGGAAACUCUUUUUUUCUGUCAGGCUCUCCCAUUCUCUGUGGGCCAAAUGUUAGACAGGGGAAACCAUCACUCACUGUCUGUGCCUCUGUCAGGAUUGCAAUGAUGCUAUCUGUUGGUGUAAGCUUGACGGAUGCCACACAUGCAGGCUGCGGGCCCCAUGAGGGCGGAGGGCCAUGGGACACCUUGAGCCAGUUAUA